GAUCAUUUGUUAAUUAAAAUUUUUCCUCUAGGCAUCCCAUUCCAUUUUUAUUCCCAGCUCAAAUCAACCCACCUUUCUUUUCCCAGUGACCCAGGCCCAUACCCCUCUUUUUUUUGAUUUCCUUCACCCGUCCAGUCCGUCCCAAAUCAGGCAACCCGUUCAACCUAAUUUCCCAUUUACAAUGAAGAAUCUGGAAUAAUGAAAGCACUCCCAGAAACGUUCCCAACUCCACUCGCAGCAGCCCCAAAUUCCAGUACUCGACCUUUCCUGUGUGCUUCUUCAUCUCCUUCAAGCGUGAAGCAGCAGAGCUAAUGGCACGUGAUCAACUACCGUCCAGCAUCUUCUUCUCCUUUCGGUUCGUACAGCGGAGCAGUGGCUGGCAAAUUUCUACCCAAGCAGUAGAGUCUGCUCAUCCUUGCAGGUGGGAGAUGGUGCCGCGUGGUAUUUCAAGGACGCACGAUACAUCCUAAGCGUCCCUUCUCCCUUCCCCUUUUGGAAUAGGAGCGAUUUCGCAGGAAAAGGUGCUGGCCUGAAUUAGUGAAAGUUUUGGUUUUCAAAUUUUGAAUUUGGGCCUUCCCUCAUCCGAAAAUUGCCCUCUCUUCCCCCCAAUAAGUUUUGAAAUCCUAGAUCCCUCCGAUAUAUAUUCUAUUUCCUUCACAGAAUUGGGGACUUUUUUUUUUUUGGAGUGGUUGGACGAUUUUUGUGGGUGAGUUAAAAAUUCAGAAGAAGACAUCGGAAAAAAGGGUAGAAAUUUCUUUUUGAAUUUUGAAUAGAGGUACAGUGAGGUAGAAACUAUAGAUAUUUGAGAGUGGGUCUUUCAGAAGAGAAUGUUUUGAGAUUUUCAGAUUUUUAUCGAGCCACUCAUUUAUUUCUUUGUCCAUCGAAAUUUCUCAAAAUAAUCAGUAGUCGCUGCCCCUCUGUUUGUCUCGUCCCAACUCGCUGCGUUUAAAAAUACGUCAAAUCAGUUCCUCAGUUUCAAAAUGGUCACCGAGACACCAGACAUUCUUCGCGUAUGGUGGAACAACCUCAAAGACUGUCAAAAGAGAGAAAUCUUGAUUCACUUGGGUCACCUACCUUCGAUAAUAGACUUCAAGGUUUGGCCCACGUUAAUCGAGGUAAUUACUAGGUUUUGGGAUGCUAAAAGAAUGGUUUUUCAAUUUGGAGACGUCGAAAUAUACCCAAAAAUAGAGGAGAUAAAGGAUUGUUUAGACUCCAUCGGAACAUGUGGCAAGAGGAUAAAAUAUCCAGAUCAUCACAUCCUUCUACCAGAUAGACCGACUAGUGCAAAACUGAAAGACAUGUUACUGUUAGUGAACGCGGACUGCUGGAUGCUCAAAAUAUACCACUAAUGAGAUUUUUCGAAAGGUGGGGGCACGAAAGCUAUUUCAAAUUAUUUCCAAACGAGUUCUAUAAUCACAAUACUUGGAGACAAACUCUGACUAUCACGUUCUCUGUAUGCCUUUUAGGAACAAUGGUGUUCCCUCAGGAUGAAGAAAAAGUGAUCGAUACUCGGGUAGUGAUGGUAGUUGACGCCAUCUUCAGAGGAAUUGGUAAAGGAGAAGAAGCAAAGAAACACUACAGUUUGGCCCCAAUUAUUUUGGCUGACAUCUAUCGAUCUCUGAGUUUGUGUAAGAAUAGAUUCCAAUUUUUCCAAGGGUGCAACAUUGUGCUUCAGUGGUGAUGAAAGAACAUCUGUGUAAAAAAAACGGCACCCAACAACAAGAGUUGUCCAAACCAAGCCAAACGAGUUCCCUUGACAAUAAUGAGUUUUAUAUAAGCAUCUGUGGGUUCCCAAUUCACACCAUAAGGGAUGCACGAGUCCAAAACUUUAUGUCACAGAAGAUCGAAGCUCGUGGGGCCAAGCGUCCUUUUAUGGUCCUUUCCAGCAUUAGAGGAAUGCGACCACACAAUCCAGCUAGGUUGAUGCGACAAUUAGGUAGAACACAAACCACACCGGUCCAAGGGGAUACCAACUCUUUUGUCAUUGAUUACAACGGGUGUAUUAAAAUACCUUUCGCCAAAACCAUCCUCCAAAAAUGGGCUGGGCGCGUCAACCUGAAAGUAAGUAUUGCUGAAAACAGGUAUGAAGCCGGGUAUGUUGAUGAAUACAAAACAUGGUUUCAGGAUGAUUUGCGUGGUGUUGUGAACCUGACACCACGCGUGGGUCGAGAAAUUGAAGAUGUCCAAAUGAGGAUUCAAAUUCACGCAUAUCAUUUUCAGCAGGAAUGGGACCAAAGGGAACAUGAAUUUCGAUAAUGAGAGCAAGAGUACCACUUCAGAGAAUUUGAAAGCCAGAGGGUCUUCGUUGUCAUGUCACAAGAGUUAACCAAUGCGAGGACUUAUUUGAUGUGUCUAGAUACCACCCUGGACGAGCAGAUCAAUACUCUUCGAUCUAUGCCACCGUCUUCCAAAGCUGUGUGUGCCGAGCCGUACAUGGUAACAAGCAAGUACAUCAUUCGUGAGAGGUAGAAAAUGCCAGAGGAGCAGGAUCUUCAACUUUCUAAUUCCCUUGCGUGGGAUUGUUUUCUAUUUGUAUUUGCAAUGUAUUCCCCUUCCCCAAAAUGUACCCCCGUGUUGAUUAAACUCUGUAACGAAUGCUAUGAUUAUUUGUAAAGUUUAUUUUGGGGGUGCAACAAUUUGUUUUAAAUGAUGCAA